ACUCGCGGACCCGGCGGGAGGAGGCAGACGGAGGUGGCUGUGGCGAUAGGAACUGGGUCACAUUGAUCGCAACCCAGGCGAUGGUUUGCGGUGAGGGGAAACCUCGACCUGUCUCCCAGUUGGUUGCACAGCAGGUUACUCAGCAGUUUGUGCCUCCUACACAGUCAAAGAAAGAGAAAAAAGAUAAAGUAGAAAAAGAAAAAAGUGAAAAGGAAACAACUAGCAAAAAGAAUAGCCAUAAGAAAACCAGGCCAAGAUUGAAAAAUGUGGAUCGGAGUAGUGCUCAGCAUUUGGAAGUUACUGUUGGAGAUCUGACAGUCAUUAUUACAGACUUUAAGGAGAAAACAAAGUCACCGCCUGCAUCUAGUGCUGCUUCUGCAGAUCAACACAGUCAAAGCGGCUCUAGCUCUGAUAACACAGAGAGAGGAAUGUCCAGGUCAUCUUCACCCAGAGGAGAAGCCUCAUCAUUGAAUGGAGAAUCUCAUUAAAGUUUAUUUUCUCCAAUUUCUUAGUCACUUCUGUCCUACCAUGCAAAUACACAGAUUACGCCAAGAGGUACCACAUUUUCAUGACAGAUACAU
rnacentral:sRNA from 1 species